ACGUCAUAAGGCUGCUCCGCGCUCAAGCGUCUGCGAUUCUGCUGAAGAAAGGUCUGUUUUACAACAAACAGAACAACAGAAAAGAGAAACUCCUGCUGAAGCGACACUCGAGACACUGUUAUAAAGAUGGCGUUUAUUAAAGAGGAGAGUGAAGACGUGAGAAUGAAGUCAAACAUGAAGAUCCUGAGG